rnacentral:rRNA from 1 species
UACGGAGGAUCCAAGCGUUAUCCGGAAUCAUUGGGUUUAAAGGGUCCGUAGGCGGUUUGGUAAGUCAGUGGUGAAAGCCCAUCGCUUAACGAUGGAACGGCCAUUGAUACUGCCAGACUUGAAUUACUGGGAAGUAACUAGAAUAUGUAGUGUAGCGGUGAAAUGCUUAGAUAUUACAUGGAAUACCAAUUGCGAAGGCAGCUCGCUGGGACGUUACUGACGCUGAGACGCGAAAGCGUGGGGAGCAAACAGG